rnacentral:lncRNA from 1 species
GAUUUUUUGGGCCCCAGAGGGCGUGAACACAGGAAGGUAAACCCCACUGGCUGAGCCCACAGUGUGCUGAGCAGGUGGGGGUGUGUUCUAGACUGAUCACAUCCUCACAUUCUCAGGACAACCUUGGGAGAGGUGCUAUUGUUUCCACUUGGCAGCCGAAGAAUUGAGGCUCAGAGUGGUGAAGUGAUUUGGCCAAGGCCACACAGCAAGGAGACGGCAGAGUGGGGACUGCGUGGCUGGGGGUCUGUCUGACUCUAAAGACAGUGUGUAUUUUUCUGGCACUAUUAACACCCCAUGGGGGACCCAGCUCCUAGCAGGUACGUGGAGCUGCCUGUGGAGAGGUUGGUGCAGCGGGUGGCAUUGGCUGCGGGAGGCCUCUGAAGACAUACCCAUUCCUUUUCUUCUGAGCCCGCAGAAGACAACCCUGCCUAGCUUCUUUGCAGCUACGUGGAGACAUGUGACUAGUUUGGCCAAUGGGAUGUGAGAAGAGAUGAUGAAACUCGGAGGAGAACUUGUGAGAUCGCCGUGACUGCUUUUCCCCUGCCACAGUGGCUAAGAGGAUAAGGCUAUCAAGGGUGGAGCCUCUCUAGGCCUGGGUUCCUGGGUGCCUGUGUGGAGCCGAGACCCCAGGCUAACUCACAAUGAACACGCCGUGUGAGGAAGACGUAAAGCUUUAUGUAUUAAGCCACUGGAGCUUAGGGUUUAAUUUGUUACUGUGGUGUAGCCUACCCUAUUCUAACCAAUACAAGGAUCUUUGGAUGACUCUCCUCCAGGAAUUCAUAUACAAAAACAUCCUCCCUGCAUGAGAACUCCCUAUAUGGUUCCAGCAGUAUCUCUCACCUGCAAUAGUGACUAAAGUCAAGACUCUCUGCUGGCUAUUUCGUUUCUACUGAACUAGAAUAUAAAUUUGAGCAGGACAUGGACCUUUUCAAUCUUGCCUACCCUCAUAUCCCAGUAACAAGUGGCUAGCAGAGUACCUGACACAUCAUGGAUGCUCAAAAAAUAUUUCUUGACUAACUGGAUGAAUAAAUGAGUGAAUCAUCAUCAGGAUUGCUGCUCGUGAACCCCUCCUCUUGCAGCUACCUGCCUUUGAAUUUGCCCUCAGGCUUCCUAGCUAGUUUCUUCUUUAGCCUUUCUGACCCAUCGUUCCUUCCGUAGAGUUCAAGACAACACUGCUCCUCCUAUGAACCAAAAGAAAGUGCCAGCGGCUGUUGGUGACGAAGCUCUUCUUUUCUAGGCAAUAAAGCCCCCUCCAGUUGUAGCAGUUUUCUCUGGAAUGGAAUUCUCCAACUCAUGACUCUCCAACUUAUGAUGGGAAACAGAGCCCACCUCCCACUCAAGAAAAAAACAAUGCUUGCAGCACUAUUCUCAAUUGCAAAGACAUGGAAUCAACCCAAAUGCCCAUCAGUGAUAGACUGGAUAAAGAAAAUGUGGUACAUAUACACCAUGGAAUAAUAUGCAGUCAUAAAAAGGAGGAAUGGGAUCACGUCCUUUACAGGGACAUGGAUGAAGCUGGAAGCCAUUAUCCUCAGCAAACUAAUGCAGGAACAGAAAACCAAACAUCACACGUUCUCACUUAUAAGUCGGAGCUGAACAAUGAGAACACAUGGACACAGGGAGGAGAUCAACACACUCUGGGGUCUGUUGGGGGACGGGAAGAAAGCAUCAGGAAAGAUAGCUAAUGCAUGCUAUGCUUAUUACCUAGGUGAUGGGUUGAUAGGUGCAGCAAACCACCAUGGCACACGUUUACCUAUGUAACAAACCUGUGUGUCCUGCACAUGUACCCCAGAACUUAAAAUAAAAAAAAAAAGGCAAGGCUGAGUACUCCCUUUCCCAGGCUCCCUUGCAGCUAGGAUGUGGGUGUGUGAGCAGGAGGGUGUGCAAGGCUGGCAGCUCUCCCCAACAGUCAGGGUUUGAGUUUGGGGGUGGGGCAGUGCUG